rnacentral:rRNA from 1 species
GACGAACGCUGGCGGCGUGCCUAAUACAUGCAAGUCGAACGCUUCUUUCCUCCCGAGUGCUUGCACUCAAUUGGAAAGAGGGGUGGCGGACGGGUGAGUAACACGUGGGUAACCUACCCAUCAGAGGGGGAUAACACUUGGAAACAGGUGCUAAUACCGCAUAACAGUUUAUGCCGCAUGGCAUAAGAGUGAAAGGCGCUUUCGGGUGUCGCUGAUGGAUGGACCCGCGGUGCAUUAGCUAGUUGGUGAGGUAACGGCUCACCAAGGCCACGAUGCAUAGCCGACCUGAGAGGGUGAUCGGCCACACUGGGACUGAGACACGGCCCAGACUCCUACGGGAGGCAGCAGCAGGGAAUCUUCGGCAAUGGACGAAAGUCUGACCGAGCAACGCCGCGUGAGUGAAGAAGGUUUUCGGAUCGUAAAACUCUGUUGUUAGAGAAGAACAAGGACGUUAGUAACUGAACGUCCCCUGACGGUAUCUAACCAGAAAGCCACGGCUAACUACGUG